GCCGAGGUAGCUUAGCUGGUCUAAAGCGCUUGACUGUGGAUCAAGAGAGCAUGGGUUCGAAUCCCCUCCUCGGUAC
rnacentral:tRNA from 1 species